GCCGACGUAGCUCAAUGGUAGAGCACAGCUUUCGUAAAGCUGGGGUUGUCGGUUCGACUCCGACCGUCGGCU
rnacentral:tRNA from 1 species